AUGUCUAGAACUGAUAAUAAUCACACCAUUGUUGUUAUUGUUUUAAAUCCAGACACUAGCUGGUGAUACAGGAGAAUGUCUACAAAGCGAACUGUGCCCAGCAGCCUCAGCUGUAUCGAUUACUGUGUCAAUAUCUGUGCCUAAAUGCUCCAGAAAGGCAGGAGCUGCAAAUUCCACUUCAACUUCCCAGGUCCAGCACUGUGAAAGACUGCAGAAUGUGGGGUACCAACAUCCAGGGCAGAAACUGUAGCGAUGAGGCUUCCCUCAUGAUCACUCGUUACUUGAACAAUGAAAGGACAUUCUGCCUGGUGCAGUUUGAGUCUGGAAUGGAAAUUAGGCGAUUACAAGAUACAGAAAAGAACUUCAGGAAAAAAAGAUAAGACAUCAGGCCUACUAUGCUGCUCUCGGAAUCUUUCUAGAAGAUCUGAACACCAGGUUGGAGAGUAAGGCUACAAUAAGGAACCGCAGGGCUGGUAUUAUCGACUGUGUUGUCUUUGCAGAAGUAAAGUACAAGUUACAGUAAGUCCUCAAGGCCCAUUCCAGUGCAUGUAUAAUAGCUUAAAUAAUUAACCAUUCUACUAUUUACUUGUCUCAGCCUUUCAAAAAUGUGUUGUAAUCCAUGUUGCUGACUAUGUGUCAAAUGUCAAGUUUAUCCUUGUCCCUGUGGAAGCAGUGAAUAAACAAAGCCUGUGAAAAUAACGUUUACAGUAAGAAGCACAGGCAGAAAACCUGUACCAUUUAAAGACUGCAGUGUCAAGGAUGUCUAAAUAGUGCAACCAGCUAGCAUAAAACAUACAAACCCAUUAAUGAAAUAAUAUAUAUAUAAUUUUCUUUUUAACACGGGUUGAAUAACAGUGCUUUCUAGUACAUGUAUUUAUUUAUUUAUUUAUUUAUGUAUUUAUCUAUUUAUGAUCUGACCAGUAGUCUGAAAAUAAAUAACUGGGUGAUUUUUGCUGUUGUUUGCUUCAAACCAGGGUUAGACUCUUGCAGUGGUCUAGCCUCCUGCGAUGUUGCCUGUUUUGUAUGUUUUUGUGCAGUUUGGAAAAAUCCCCCCACCUAUUGCUUCAUGUCAAUUGUUAUUGCACAGGCCCUUAAGCAAACAAUGUUGACUGUUCAGUCUGUUUACAUUUCCUCUAUUGUAAUUCCA